GUGAGAUUAAGUAUUCAAUCAAGAUGGCGUAGCAGUCGGACGUGUGUUUGUCUUUCCCAUGUAAACAGUUGGUCUCAUCGUUUUUUGAAUAUAUUUUAAUCUCACUUUCCACCCACGAUCUAAAUAUACUUUCCUGCAACCCGCCCCACCCAAUGUGCCUUCUGGGCCCAGGGGCUUCAGCCCCGGGAAGCCCCUUUGUUAAGCCGGCCCUGGACGUACCCCAACAACAGAAUGAAGCUGUGAAGAAAAAGGCUACAGCCAAAAAGCAGAAGGAGAAACCUUCAGAGGAUGCAAAACUCAGGAAAUCCGCAAAAGCAUCUGCUUCCAAGGUGCCCCCUGCUAAGAAGCCCAAGUCGAACAGGACAAUGGGGAAGAGGGGACAGCUGAGGAUCAACCCAAAGCACAGAAGACUACCAAGGGUGAAGGGGCAGCCAAGAAGGGUGCAAAGGCCAAAGCUUUCCAGAAGCCUGCAGAGGGUGAUGAAGGGGACACUGCUGCUCCUGAAGCUAAAAAUCACAGUGAAACGAGGCAAUGGGGGCAGCAGCAGAAUGACUGCACUCCUUUUAUCCACUUUAUAUGUUUUUAAAUAAAGCUGUUUUUGUACUACUUGUUUGUGGCAUUUAAGUGUAGACCUAACUGCUGUAAAAUGUAAUCUCCACUUUUCCUGUAGAUGUAGAUAAGUGUUGAUGGUGGCUAGGGGUUUGUAAAGA
rnacentral:lncRNA from 1 species